AUUCUGGUGUCCUAGGCGUAGAGGAACCACACCAAUCCAUCCCGAACUUGGUGGUUAAACUCUAUUGCGGUGACGAUACUGUAGGAGAGGUCCUGCGGCAAAAUAGCUCGGCGCCAGGAUGAUAAAAAGCUUAACACCUC
rnacentral:rRNA from 1 species